rnacentral:rRNA from 1 species
GACGAACGCUGGCGGCGUGCUUAACACAUGCAAGUCGAACGGAAAGGCCCUGCUCUUGUGGGGUGCUCGAGUGGCGAACGGGUGAGUAACACGUGAGUAACCUGCCCUUGACUUUGGGAUAACUUCAGGAAACUGGGGCUAAUAUCCGAGAGGAGCUCCUGCUGCAUGGGGGUGGUUGGAAAGUUUCGGCGGUUGGGGAUGGACUCGCGGCUUAUCAGCUUGUUGGUGGGGUGGUGGCUUACCAAGGCUUUGACGGGUAGCCGGCCUGAGAGGGUGACCGGCCACAUUGGGACUGAGAUACGGCCCAGACUCCUACGGGAGGCAGCAGUGGGGAAUAUUGCACAAUGAGCGGAAGCCUGGUGCAGCAACGCCGCGUGCGGGAUGACGGCCUUCGGGUUGUAAACCGCUUUCGCCUGUGACGAAGCGUGAGUGACGGUAAUGGGUAAAGAAGCACCGGCUAACUACGUG